UUUGUAGCUGAAUGUCACAAUAAUGCAAAAUAAAACAAAUAAAAUGCUUUUAUUGUGAAAUAUUUGGUCACAAAUGAAACAAAAGGGUGUUUUUUGUUGAACUUUUAGAACUGGUUGAGCAGCUUUGACGAGUUGAAGCACAAAAAUCUAAACUAUGUUUUGUGUUCUUGUGAGGUGCAGCUUUAAGUUGUGUAACAGAAGUGUGUGUGUCCGACUGAACAGCAGGGGAAAUGUUGCCACGGCAACAGCAACAACAAACACUGUGGAUGAAACCUGGAAACAAGGACCGAACACACAGCAGAGACAGACCCACACAUCAGGGAGGGGCUGGCCGGACCAGCUCGAAGGGACUGUGAGCAGCGGCUGGUCGCCUCCACGGCACGAAGGGGAGCAACGGAUGCGGCAGAACGGAGAGAGCAGAGGGAUUCCUAAUGCUUUGGCAUCAGGUGGCUGUCCAGUCAGGAUAGCUGGGGAUCUCCUACUCUGUGCUUUAGAUGCAGCUGAUCUUUAUGAUGUGGAGAGAGGCCCAUCAUUGACCAGACAGUCCUCAUUCGGCAGAGAUCCUUUUGCAUCUGAGGAAGAGAGAGAUCAUGCACAGGGACGUUUCUCAGAAGCUUUUGGAGAUCUCUCAGCAUUGUUUGACCACACAGUCAACAAUAAUCCUGGGCCAUUAGAGGAUGCUCUGCAGCAUCUUAUCCGUGUUUCAACAUAAACGGAGAUGGAGGGCUCUACUCUCUCCCUUUGCUGCCGCAGCCUGAUAGGUUGUCAGAACUGUAUUGCAGUCCUCCUAGAAAGGGGUGAUGGUUGCCCAAAGUGCAGGUCCCCUCUCAGCCAAGGCCAGACCGUCGCUGUGGCUGGCCUGUCAGAGGCCUUGGCCGUUGUGCGUGGCCUCGGCCACUAAGUGUCCGAGUGAUGAAGUCAAGUGUUGUUUCCCGUUUGUUCCUGUCACAUAUUUUGUUUGGGUUUCUUAUGUGCAGGAAGAAGAAUUUCUAAAACAAUAAACAAUUAAAAAAAACUGACUGGAAAGGUCUCAGUUUACUUGGAUCUGUUUGAGUUUAUGAACAUGUUUAAUGUGAGCACUGUGUAAAGAAGAACCAUCCCUCAUAAUAAUUCAGUAAAUUCAAAAACUGCUUAUACACAGAACAGGUCAAUGAAACUCUAGCACACACAUCAAAGCAAACUGAUGUGCAUUGCCUUUCCAAGUUCCAAGUUUUUUUUAUGCAGCCCAAGCAGGUUAAUUUUGCAUCAGUAGGUGAAUGUGAGUGGAUGUGGUCAUGUACUAGGUGAGUCUUUUGAGUGUCUUUUAUGUUAAAAACAGAAAACACAUGAAUACAGCUACAGCAAAUGCAAAUUACUUGUAUUUGUAAGCCAAAGUAUGAUAAAUAGGGACCAGACAAAAAGGGAAAAAAAGCAGAGAUGGCUGCAUGUGUAGUGAUAUGCAUAA